CCUACGGGGUGCAGCAGUGGGGAAUAUUGGACAAUGGGCGAAAGCCUGAUCCAGCCAUGCCGCGUGUGUGAAGAAGGCCUUCGGGUUGUAAAGCACUUUCAGUGGGGAAGAAAGCCUUGGGGCUAAUACCCUCGAGGAAGGACAUCACCCACAGAAGAAGCACCGGCUAACUCCGUGCCAGCAGCCGCGGUAAUACGGAGGGUGCGAGCGUUAAUCGGAAUUACUGGGCGUAAAGCGCGCGUAGGCGGUCUGAUAAGCCGGUUGUGAAAGCCCCGGGCUCAACCUGGGAACGGCAUCCGGAACUGUCAGGCUAGAGUGCAGGAGAGGAAGGUAGAAUUCCCGGUGUAGCGGUGAAAUGCAUAGAGAUCGGGAGGAAUACCAGUGGCGAAGGCGGCCUUCUGGACUGACACUGACGCUGAGGUGCGAAAGCGUGGGUAGCAAACAGGAUUAGAUACCCCUGUAGUC
rnacentral:rRNA from 1 species